UUCAUGAUGUCCAUGAUCAGAUGUCCUUAUGAACGCUGCCUGAAGUAGUUCCGUGCCGUCUCCGCGUUUUAUGUGCACCUUCUUGUCCUUCCUUUGAAAAAAUAAAACUAAUUUCCAGUCUAAUUUCCUUUCUCUUUGAAGUGUUUUGAUGCCAGAGCUGACUGAUGGGUGCACAUGGUUCCUUCGUAUGUUCUUCAUUUGAAAAAAUAAACGGGUUUUGAUGCCAGAGGUGACUGGCGCAUUUUCAUCACUAUGUACAUAGAAAAUAAAUCCCAAUGUGACAAACAUCACAA